rnacentral:rRNA from 1 species
AGCGAACGCUGGCGGCAGGCCUAACACAUGCAAGUCGAACGAACCUUUCGGGGUUAGUGGCGGACGGGUGAGUAACACGGGGAACGUGCCUUUAGGUUCGGAAUAACUCAGGGAAACUUGUGCUAAUACCGAAUGUGCCCUUCGGGGGAAAGAUUAAUCGCCUUUAGAGCGGCCCGCGUCUGAUUAGCUAGUUGGUUGAGGUAAUGGCUCACCAAGGCGACGAUCAGUAGCUGGUCUGAGAGGAUGAUCAGCCACAUUGGGACUGAGACACGGCCCAAACUCCUACGGGAGGCAGCAGUGGGGAAUCUUGCGCAAUGGGCGAAAGCCUGACGCAGCCAUGCCGCGUGAAUGAUGAAGGUCUUAGGAUUGUAAAAUUCUUUCACCGGGGACGAUAAUGACGGUACCCGGAGAAGAAGCCCCGGCUAACUUCGU